GUUGGUGACUGCUACAGACCACCACAUCACACUAGGGGAGCGGGAUGACGGACUUCUUAUUCACCUAUCUAUAAUGUGUAGGAAGAAAACCUACACGAUCAUGGGUGACUCCAAUUUGAGUGAUAUAUGCUGGAGGUCUCAUGCUGCCAGUACUAAACCAUCCUUGGAAUGUUAUCAUCUAAAUAUUAUAGAUGAUGGUUUCCUAACAAAAAACGUUACAUCAAACACUGGGGAAUUCUAUAUUAGACCUCAUCUUGACAGACUAGGAACAGAUCACAGAACUAAAAAUUAAUGGUAGCUCAGGUACAAGUGAUCAUGAAUUGAUUACAUUUAUAAUGUGCAAACAGAACAAAGUUCAGACCAGUAAUAUAUAGACACACUUGGUCCUUUAAAAGGGCUGAUUUCCCACAGCUGAAAACAAUGAUGAGCCAAAUCAGCUGGGAGCAAGAAUGUAAUGAGGAAAAUGUACAUGAUAAUUGGGAAUUGUUUAAGAACACUUUGCUAGAUGCCCAAAAGCUACAAUAUCACAAUCAAGGAAGAAGGCCAUAUUGGCUAAAAAAAAAAUGACUUGGUUCAGUGGGGAAGUGAAGACAGCUAUAUAAAAAUAUUUAUACAUUUAACAAAUGGAAGAAAGGGGAAGUUGAUAGUAUGAAUAUAAAUCAGAAGCUAAGAACUGUAGAAAAUUGAUAAGGGUAGCAAAGGGACACAAGAAGAAUUUUUCUGACCAGCAGAGUUAAGGACAAUAAGAAGGAGUUUUUAAGUAUAUUAUGAACAAAAGAAUCCUAAUAAUGGUAUUGAUUAAUUACUGGAUGGAACUGGUAGAAUUAUCAGUGAUAAUGCAGAAAAGGUAGAAGUGUUCAAUAAAUGUUUCUGUUCUAUAUUUGGGGGGGAAAAACUGAUGAUGUAGUCUUAUCAUAUGAUAAAACUCUUUCCAUUCCACUCAUGUCUCAGAAAGAUGUUAAACAGCAGCUGCUAAAGUUAGACUUUUUUAAAUCAGCAGGUCCAGAUAACUUGCAUCCAAGAGUUUUAAAAGAGCUGCCUGAGGAUUUGAUGUACCAUUAAUGUUGAUUUUCAAUAAGUUUUAGAAGACUGGGGAAGUUCCAGAAAACUGGAAGAGAAAGGAUAAUCAGCUGAACAAGAGCUAUCGGUGUGAUGCUGUGGCCAAAAGGGCUCAUAAGGGGCAAGGCUGGGCAGAAAGGCAAACCUAUCCUGAGGACCCUUGAACAAGGAUGCCAAAGAAGCCUCACUGUGAGGAAGAAGACUGCUGAUCAUAGUUGGGGCUGAAGGUUUAGUUGUCUUCUCUUUUCUUAUGCUAUCUUAUAUUGGACUUAAAGACUUUGCGGGAGACAGAUGGUAAGAACUGAUCCACAGAGGCAGCUCUGAAGCACUCUAGAGUGCCUAAUAUUAUUGACCCUCGGAGGGCCCUAGUUCAGAGCCCGGUGGAGUGGGAUGGCCCAGGCUCCCCUACUACUGUCCUUGUUGCAAGAGGGGCAUAAAACCUCAUUUUCGCUCCACCGCCCCCUCUAGUAAGGAGAGGGUAAGAACACUGAAAAUGCUGAGGUGAGGAUAAGCCACAUAUAAGUGUUAGGAACUAGAAGGAAGGUCCUUCCUGCUGGGAGGUGAGAAACUGAAAACCAGGUAUGCUAACCCUAGGCCACCUAGCCCUCCAACUACUCUACUACAGACGCAUAAAUGGGGGGAAUCUCAAGUAGGAGUAGAGAGGUCAUUUUACCACUGUAUUUGGCACUGGUGCAGCUGCUGCUGGAAUACUCUGUCCAGUUCUGGUGUCCACAAGUCAAGAAGGAUGUUGAUAAAUGAUUUAAGGAUUAGAAUACAUUCCUUAUAGUGAUAGACUCAAGGAGAUCUAUCUAUUUAGCUUAACAAAGAGAAGUUUAAGGGGUGAUUUGAUUACAAUCUGUAAGAAACUAUAUGGGGAACAAAUACUUGACAGUGGUCUCUUAAAUCUAGCAGAGAUGGGUAUAACAUGAGAGUAUGGCUGGAAAUUGAAGCUAGACAAAUUCAAACUGGAAAUAAGGCAUACAUUUUUAACAGUGAGGGCAAUUAACCCUUGGAACAGUUUGCCAAAGGUCAUGGUGGAUUUUCCAUUACUGGCAAUUUUUAAAUCAAGAUUGCAUGUUUUUGUAAAAGAAAUGCUCUCAGAAUUGUUUCAGGGAAGUUCUAUGUCCCAUGUUAUACCUGAGGCCUGUGUUAUACAUAAGAUUUUCCCUUCUGGCCUUGUAAUAUAUGAAUCUGUGAAAAUAAAAAGUCUGACCACGCUAGAACUGAAAGUAAAUCAGUCUGUUGCCAGUUCUUCUUUCCACCAUCAUUCAUUUUCUAGCCAAGGCUAAAAGAAGAAAAUUGAACUACUAUGGAUUGUUCUUAAUGCGUAACGGCCCAUUUUUGCAAGGUGCUCUGCAUCUGCACUCUCAACUCCCAUUGAAAUUGAUGGGUGCUCAUCACUUCUCGAGAUUAAAUCCUAAAUAUUCACACCACAAAUCCCUCAUAGACAAUUAUAUUUUUAAAAAUAUGUGACAAUUUGAAUUUGAAAGGGAAUGCAAUCAAAAUAUAUAGUAAAUGGAAAGCAUAUUUAUAGGUUUGAGCAAAAAGUCAUAGCAGCUGCAUUCUAUAAUCAUUAGUGUGGUACUGGAUAAGAAUAGCAUACCCACCCCUUCCAGAAUUUAUUAUUGUUUUUAAGGAACACAAUUUCUUUGACUUAAAGUGUGGGGGGAGACACAAACAGUUUGAUUCUACUUGCCUUCAGGGUGUCUGACUUUGUUUUCAUCACUAGUUGAAGGAUUUAAACACUGUGUUACCAAAAAGUAUUAACAAUGGUAAUUCUCAUCCCAGGAGGCACUGGGAAACUAUUCAAUGCUGUUCAAUCUUUUUAUAAAAAAAAAGUAAUAUAUUUUUUUUAGUCCUUUCUUCCAAGGCUGCUGCAUUUUCAAAUACUCCUUUCCCCCAAGAACUGAGGACAGGCUCAAUAUAAAUGAUGCUAUAUACAAGUCUCUGUUAUUGGGAAAAAAUGUUAGGAUUAUGCUUUGUGUUGUUUUAUUUGUGGUUUUAGUUAGCCAAAAAGUGUUACUGUUUAAAAAUGGAGUGUAUUGUUGGCUGUGUUGCUGAGCCAAAUCAUCGUUGCCUUACUUAUAAGUACUCUCAUUAAAAUCAGAGGGGCUUCUCAUGUGUGUAUAUUGGCCACCGUAAAAAGGGGAAUUACCCCAUUUGUCCAUAUGUAUUACUUUUGAUUGUCUUAUUAUUUGAAUCUUUUGUGUGAAAAACUAACACAAACUGCACAAAAUAAUGUAUUUUUAAAACUUGACAUUAAAUAUAAAUAACCCUG